rnacentral:siRNA from 1 species
UAUGCAUGCAGUCCUUCUCUU